ACACACACACACACACACACCCUAUAAUGUGAUUGGCAUCUUGCCCCAGUUCCAAAAGGAUUUCUACAAGUGAUAAUAAGCUAAGGCUAGAGGGAGGGAGGGUCUCAGUGAGCCCCUUUCUUGGCUUCAAGAAAUAUACCACAUUAUACUUGUAAUUGUUUACAUUAAAUAACAGGAUUUCGCAUUAUUUAUAUGAAAAAAGAAUAAUAUUCUCAAGUCUAUGUUUUACUAAAUUCAAUUCCACAAAUAUUUGUCAAAUGUCUGUUGUAUGUUAGUUUCUGAGAUUAAAGAUGGGAGGGAAAAGGACAGUAUCUACUCUCCAGGUGUGCUACAUGUUUGUCUCUGAGAUUUAAAGAUGGAAAAAAAAAAGGAUAGUAUCUAUUCUCCAGGUGCUUGAAAUCUAACAGUGGAGAGAAGGUCACCAUAUAAAUAAAAGUAACAUAAGGUUGGGUGUGAUUGGGCCAAAGAGAGUCCCCUAGAGGGGUCUAAAAAGGGAAA